rnacentral:rRNA from 1 species
ACCGUAGCUUGCUACACCAUAGACUGUGAGUMUGCGAACGGGUGAGUAACGCGUAGGUAACCUGCCUGGUAGCGGGGGAUAACUAUUGGAAACGAUAGCUAAUACCGCAUAAUAUUGAUUAUUGCAUGAUAAUUGAUUGAAAGAUGCUAUUGCAUCACUACCAGAUGGACCUGCGUUGUAUUAGCUAGUAGGUGAGGUAACGGCUCACCUAGGCGACGAUACAUAGCCGACCUGAGAGGGUGAUCGGCCACACUGGGACUGAGACACGGCCCAGACUCCUACGGGAGGCAGCAGUAGGGAAUCUUCGGCAAUGGACGAAAGUCUGACCGAGCAACGCCGCGUGAGUGAAGAAGGUUUUCGGAUCGUAAAGCUCUGUUGUAAGAGAAGAACGGGUGUGAGAGUGGAAAGUUCACACUGUGACGGUAUCUUACCAGAAAGGGACGGCUAACUACGUGCCAGCAGCCGCGGUAAUACGUAGGUCCCGAGCGUUGUCCGGAUUUAUUGGGCGUAAAGCGAGCGCAGGCGGUUAGAUAAGUCUGAAGUUAAAGGCUGUGGCUUAACCAUAGUACGCUUUGGAAACUGUUUAACUUGAGUGCAGAAGGGGAGAGUGGAAUUCCAUGUGUAGCGGUGAAAUGCGUAGAUAUAUGGAGGAACACCGGUGGCGAAAGCGGCUCUCUGGUCUGUAACUGACGCUGAGGCUCGAAAGCGUGGGGAGCGAACAGGAUUAGAUACCCUGGUAGUCCACGCCGUAAACGAUGAGUGCUAGGUGUUAGGCCCUUUCCGGGGCUUAGUGCCGCAGCUAACGCAUUAAGCACUCCGCCUGGGGAGUACGACCGCAAGGUUGAAACUCAAAGGAAUUGACGGGGGCCCGCACAAGCGGUGGAGCAUGUGGUUUAAUUCGAAGCAACGCGAAGAACCUUACCAGGUCUUGACAUCCCGAUGCCCGCUCUAGAGAUAGAGUUUUACUUCGGUACAUCGGUGACAGGUGGUGCAUGGUUGUCGUCAGCUCGUGUCGUGAGAUGUUGGGUUAAGUCCCGCAACGAGCGCAACCCUUAUUGUUAGUUGCCAUCAUUCAGUUGGGCACUCUAGCGAGACUGCCGGUAAUAAACCGGAGGAAGGUGGGGAUGACGUCAAAUCAUCAUGCCCCUUAUGACCUGGGCUACACACGUGCUACAAUGGCUGGUACAACGAGUCGCAAGUCGGUGACGACAAGCUAAUCUCUUAAAGCCAGUCUCAGUUCGGAUUGUAGGCUGCAACUCGCCUACAUGAAGUCGGAAUCGCUAGUAAUCGCGGAUCAGCACGCCGCGGUGAAUACGUUCCCGGGCCUUGUACACACCGCCCGUCACACCACGAGAGUUUGUAACACCCGAAGUCGGUGAGGUAACCUUUUAGGAGCCAGCCGCCUAA